rnacentral:rRNA from 1 species
UACAGAGGGGGCUAGCGUUGUUCGGAAUUACUGGGCGUAAAGGGCGCGUAGGUGGCCUGUUAAGUCGAACGUGAAAUCCCCAGGCUUAACCUGGGAACUGCAUUCGAGACUGCAUAGCUAGAGUAUGGGAGAGGGAAGUGGAAUUUCAGGUGUAGCGGUGAAAUGCGUAGAUAUCUGAAGGAACAUCAGUGGCGAAAGCGACUUCCUGGACCAAUACUGACGCUCAUGUGCGAAAGCGUGGGGAGCAAACAGG